rnacentral:rRNA from 1 species
UUACCGACUUUCGUGACUUGACGGGCGGUGUGUACAAGGCCCGGGAACGUAUUCACCGCAGCGUUGCUGAUCUGCGAUUACUAGCGACUCCGACUUCAUGGGGUCGAGUUGCAGACCCCAAUCCGAACUGAGACCGGCUUUCUGGGAUUGGCUCCACCUCACAGUAUCGCAACCCUUUGUACCGGCCAUUGUAGCAUGCGUGAAGCCCAAGACAUAAGGGGCAUGAUGAUUUGACGUCGUCCCCACCUUCCUCCGAGUUGACCCCGGCAGUCUCCCAUGAGUCCCCACCAUCACGUGCUGGCAACAUGGAACGAGGGUUGCGCUCGUUGCGGGACUUAACCCAACAUCUCACGACACGAGCUGACGACAACCAUGCACCACCUGUGAACCGGCCCCGAAGGGAAGCCCCAUCUCUGGGACGGUCCGGCACAUGUCAAGCCUUGGUAAGGUUCUUCGCGUUGCAUCGAAUUAAUCCGCAUGCUCCGCCGCUUGUGCGGGCCCCCGUCAAUUCCUUUGAGUUUUAGCCUUGCGGCCGUACUCCCCAGGCGGGGCACUUAAUGCGUUAGCUGCGGCGCGGAAACCGUGGAAUGGCCCCCACACCUAGUGCCCAACGUUUACGGCAUGGACUACCAGGGUAUCUAAUCCUGUUCGCUCCCCAUGCUUUCGCUCCUCAGCGUCAGUUACAGCCCAGAGACCUGCCUUCGCCAUCGGUGUUCCUCCUGAUAUCUGCGCAUUUCACCGCUACACCAGGAAUUCCAGUCUCCCCUACUGCACUCCAGCCUGCCCGUACCCACUGCAGACCCGGGGUUGAGCCCCGGGCUUUCACAGCAGACGCGACAAACCGCCUACGAGCUCUUUACGCCCAAUAAUUCCGGAUAACGCUCGCGCCCUACGUAUUACCGCGGCUGCUGGCACGUAGUUAGCCGGCGCUUCUUCUGCAGGUACCCUCACCCCGAAAGGCUUGUCCCCUGCUGAAAGGGGUUUACAACCCGAAGGCCGUCAUCCCCCACGCGGCGUCGCUGCAUCAGGCUUGCGCCCAUUGUGCAAUAUUCCCCACUGCUGCCUCCCGUAGGAGUCUGGGCCGUGUCUCAGUCCCAGUGUGGCCGGUCACCCUCUCAGGCCGGCUACCCGUCGUCGCCUUGGUAGGCCAUCACCCCACCAACAAGCUGAUAGGCCGCGAGCCCAUCCAAGACCGCACAAGGCUUUCCACCCCCCACCAUGCGAUGAGGAGUCCUAUCCGGUAUUAGACCCAGUUUCCCAGGCUUAUCCCAGAGUCAAGGGCAGGUUGCUCACGUGUUACUCACCCGUUCGCCACUAAUCCACCCCAGCAAGCUGGGCAUCAU